ACGCACGCUGGCGGCGUGCUUCACACAUGCCAGUCGAACGGAAAGGCCCCUUUGGGGGUACUCGAGUGGCGAACGGGUGAGUAACACGUGAGUAACCUGCCCUUGACUUCGGGAUAACUUCAGGAAACUGGGGCUAAUACCGGAUAGGAAUCCUUGCUGCAUGGUGGGGGUUGGAAAGCUUCGGCGGUUUUGGAUGGACUCGCGGCUUAUCAGCUUGUUGGUGGGGUAGUGGCUUACCAAGGCUUUGACGGGUAGCCGGCCUGAGAGGGCGACCGGCCACAUUGGGACUGAGAUACGGCCCAGACUCCUACGGGAGGCAGCAGUGGGGAAUAUUGCACAAUGGGCGGAAGCCUGAUGCAGCAACGCCGCGUGCGGGAUGACGGCCUUCGGGUUGUAAACCGCUUUCAGCAGGGGCGAAGCUUGUGGUGACGGUACCUGCAGAAGAAGCACCGGCUAACUACGUG
rnacentral:rRNA from 1 species